AAUAGCUUAGCAAACGAAUGCGAUUGAUUUAGGCUCAAUAGAUAACUUCGGUUAGUUAUUA
rnacentral:tRNA from 1 species